AGAGCAGCUGAGCCCCUAGUGGGAGUCUACAUCUGGAAAUCCUGCGACUGAGCUCAUGGGACAAAACUUUGUCUCAAGUGAUACCGCUGAGAAAAGAGCUUCUGUCCUUUGGAGCUGGGGCAUCAAAGGAUUCGGACUUGAGAAAAGAGGUGACUUGGUUUGGGAGGGCUGCAAUGGUUUCCCCCACACACACGCACUGCCACCAAACUGAUUGCAUUGAAAUGGUCACCAGUUUGCUGGACCCCACAGCAUCGAGGUCCUUGCUUUACCUUUCCUUUCCAAGCAGGUGAAAACCUCUGUGAAGAUGCAGAGCUGGCGACAGAAAACUUUGGGAAGGCAGAGUCCUGUGGUGCUGCCAAAAUAGAUCCAAACCAUUUUUCUGCCCUGGUUUUGCAAGUGGGAAAUAUUCAAGCUUCCUACCUAGUUUACAGCAAAGCACUAGUCCAUGGAUAUUUGAAUUAUGAGCUUGGAAUUAUGCUUCAACACACACUUGCCCAAGUGAGGCCACCUUUCUGGAAAGAGAACUGGACACCUGCUGGGGUCCUAAUGUUUAGGGACCAAAUCUAUCUUGGAAAAAUUGUUGAACAUUUGAAAAUGCUGCAUGAUGCCACACAGCGACCUCUAGCAGCCUGCAUGAAGGUUGUGGCACUGGGCUCCAAGAUGACGACCUUCUGCAGAAGGUCAUAGCUGGCCCCACCUACACAUCAUAUCAUCUCCAGUGGACUCACCUAUGUAAAUUUUCAGCUUCUUGAGCUGGGUAAGCAUGUUUUUGAAGUCAUGGUUCUGAUGCUAAGGUUCACUUAUGUCUGCACUUAUGCUCACUUAUUGUCCGUUCCAAUAAAUUUCCUUACUUCGCAUAAACUUCA
rnacentral:lncRNA from 1 species